GCGGCGGUAGUCUAGCCUGGUUUAGGAUGGCGGCCUGCCAAGCCGUUGAUCCCGGGAGGGAAAACCCCGGGAAUUCAAAUCCCGGCCGCCGCA
rnacentral:tRNA from 1 species